rnacentral:rRNA from 1 species
GACGAACGCUGGCGGCGUGCUUAACACAUGCAAGUCGAACGGAAAGACCCUGAUUUUGCUUUUUUCUCGUUUGGCGAACGGGUGUGUAACACGUGAGUAACCUGCCCUUUACUUUGUGAUAACUCUUGGAAACUGGGGCUAAUACCGGAUAAAUACUCUUGCUCCCAUGUGGGGGUUGGAAAAUUUGGUCGGUUUGUGAUUGACUCACGGAUUCGCGCUUUAUUAGUUAGUUGGUGAGGUAACGGCUUAUCGAGGCAACGAUGCACAGCCGAGCUGACAGGGUGAUAGGCCACACUGGAACUGAGACACGGUCAAGACUCCUACGAGAGGCAGCAGUAGGGAAUCUUCCGCAAUGGGCGAAAGCCUGACGGAGCAACGCCGAGUGAGUGAUGAAGGUCUUCGGAUCGUAAUACUCUGUUAUUAGGGAAGAACAUAUGUGUAAGUAACUGUGCACAUCUUGACGGUAACUAAUCAGAAAGCAACGGCUAACUACGUG